AGUGAACGCUGGCGGCGUGCCUAAUACAUGCAAGUCGAACGGAGUGGCGCACGGGUGAGUAAUAUAUAGCUAACCUGCCCCUUGCUGGAGGUCAACAGUUAGAAAUGUAUGCUAAUACUCCAUAGGAAGGGAUGAGACUAUAUCGUAUCAGCUAGUCGGUGGGGUAACGGCCUACCGAGGCUAUGACGCGUAACUGGUCUGAGAGGAUGAUCAGUCACAUUUGAACGGAGACACGGUCCAAACUCCUGCCGGAGGCAGCAGUAGGGAAUAUUGCGCAAUGGGGGAAACCCUUGCGCGGCAACGCCGCGUAGAGGAUGACACUUUUCGAAGCGUGAACUCCUUUUGUUAGGGAAGCGGUACCUAACGAAUAAGCACCGGCUAACUCCGUGCCAGCAGCCGCGGUAAUAC
rnacentral:rRNA from 1 species